UACGUCAUCCUGCCCUCUGACUUUUACAGCCGCGGUAUCCUAACCGUGCUAAGGUAGCAUAAUCACUUGCCUAUUAAUUAUAGGCUAGAAUGAACGGGAUCACUCACUUAAACUUAUUUUUAUUUAAAUUUAAAUUAAACUUUAAGUCAAAAUACUAAAUUAAAAAGAAAGACAAAAAGACCCUGAAAACUAUUAGAAAUAAUUAGUUGGGGCAACUAUAGACCACUCUAGCGUCUAUUUUUUUUAACUCUUAAAAUCUAAAGUAUCCAGUUACUUCAGGGAUAACAGACUAAUUUUAUUAUUUAGACCCAAUAAAUAAUAAAGAUUGGCACCUCGAUGUUGGCUUAUAUUUCCUUCAUAUAGCAACAUAUAUAGAAGGCAGCUUGUUCAUCUGUUAAAUAUUUACAUGAGCUGAGUUCAG
rnacentral:rRNA from 1 species